AUACGGCCACAUCAUAUUGAAACACCUGUUCCCAUACAAUCACAGAAGUUAAGCCAUGUCAAACCUGGUCAGUACCUAGAUGAGUGACUGCUUUGAAAUACCAGGUGCUGUAAG